rnacentral:rRNA from 1 species
AGAGUUUGAUCCUGGCUCAGGAUGAACGCUGGCGGCGUGCCUAAUACAUGCAAGUCGAGCGAACAGAUAAGGAGCUUGCUCCUUUGAAGUUAGCGGCGGACGGGUGAGUAACACGUGGGUAACCUACCUAUAAGACUGGGAUAACUUCGGGAAACCGGAGCUAAUACCGGAUAACAUUUAGAACCGCAUGGUUCUAAAGUGAAAGAUGGUUUUGCUAUCACUUAUAGAUGGACCCGCGCCGUAUUAGCUAGUUGGUAAGGUAACGGCUUACCAAGGCGACGAUACGUAGCCGACCUGAGAGGGUGAUCGGCCACACUGGAACUGAGACACGGUCCAGACUCCUACGGGAGGCAGCAGUAGGGAAUCUUCCGCAAUGGGCGAAAGCCUGACGGAGCAACGCCGCGUGAGUGAUGAAGGGUUUCGGCUCGUAAAACUCUGUUAUUAGGGAAGAACAAAUGUGUAGGUAACUGUGCACAUCUUGACGGUACCUAAUCAGAAAGCCACGGCUAACUACGUG